UGAUUAAGAGCUUGCUCUUAUGAUUAGUGGCGCACGGGUGAGUAAUAUAUAGAUAACGUACCUCUUAGUCUGGGAUAGCCAUUGGAAACGAUGAUUAAUACCGGAUACUCCUUCUAACUAUAAUGUUAGUCGGGAAAGUUUUUCGCUAAGAGAUCGGUCUAUAUCCCAUCAGCUUGUUGGUAGUGUAAGAGACUACCAAGGCUAUGACGGGUAGCGGGUUUGAGAGGAUGAUCCGCCACACUGGUACUGAGACACGGACCAGACUCC
rnacentral:rRNA from 2 species